AGAGUUUGAUCCUGGCUCAGGAUGAACGCUAGCUACAGGCUUAACACAUGCAAGUCGAGGGGCAGCAUGGUCUUAGCUUGCUAAGGCCGAUGGCGACCGGCGCACGGGUGAGUAACACGUAUCCAACCUGCCGUCUACUCUUGGACAGCCUUCUGAAAGGAAGAUUAAUACAAGAUGGCAUCAUGAGUCCGCAUGUUCACAUGAUUAAAGGUAUUCCGGUAGACGAUGGGGAUGCGUUCCAUUAGAUAGUAGGCGGGGUAACGGCCCACCUAGUCUUCGAUGGAUAGGGGUUCUGAGAGGAAGGUCCCCCACAUUGGAACUGAGACACGGUCCAAACUCCUACGGGAGGCAGCAGUGAGGAAUAUUGGUCAAUGGGCGAGAGCCUGAACCAGCCAAGUAGCGUGAAGGAUGACUGCCCUAUGGGUUGUAAACUUCUUUUAUAAAGGAAUAAAGUCGGGUAUGGAUACCCGUUUGCAUGUACUUUAUGAAUAAGGAUCGGCUAACUCCGUGCCAGCAGCCGCGGUAAUACGGAGGAUCCGAGCGUUAUCCGGAUUUAUUGGGUUUAAAGGGAGCGUAGAUGGAUGUUUAAGUCAGUUGUGAAAGUUUGCGGCUCAACCGUAAAAUUGCAGUUGAUACUGGAUAUCUUGAGUGCAGUUGAGGCAGGCGGAAUUCGUGGUGUAGCGGUGAAAUGCUUAGAUAUCACGAAGAACUCCGAUUGCGAAGGCAGCCUGCUAAGCUGCAACUGACAUUGAGGCUCGAAAGUGUGGGUAUCAAACAGGAUUAGAUACCCUGGUAGUCCACACGGUAAACGAUGAAUACUCGCUGUUUGCGAUAUACUGCAAGCGGCCAAGCGAAAGCGUUAAGUAUUCCACCUGGGGAGUACGCCGGCAACGGUGAAACUCAAAGGAAUUGACGGGGGCCCGCACAAGCGGAGGAACAUGUGGUUUAAUUCGAUGAUACGCGAGGAACCUUACCCGGGCUUAAAUUGCAGAUGAAUUACGGUGAAAGCCGUAAGCCGCAAGGCAUCUGUGAAGGUGCUGCAUGGUUGUCGUCAGCUCGUGCCGUGAGGUGUCGGCUUAAGUGCCAUAACGAGCGCAACCCUUGUUGUCAGUUACUAACAGGUUCCGCUGAGGACUCUGACAAGACUGCCAUCGUAAGAUGUGAGGAAGGUGGGGAUGACGUCAAAUCAGCACGGCCCUUACGUCCGGGGCUACACACGUGUUACAAUGGGGGGUACAGAGGGCCGCUACCACGCGAGUGGAUGCCAAUCCCAAAAACCUCUCUCAGUUCGGACUGGAGUCUGCAACCCGACUCCACGAAGCUGGAUUCGCUAGUAAUCGCGCAUCAGCCACGGCGCGGUGAAUACGUUCCCGGGCCUUGUACACACCGCCCGUCAAGCCAUGGGAGCCGGGGGUACCUGAAGUGCGUAACCGCGAGGAGCGCCCUAGGGUAAAACUGGUGACUGGGGCUAAGUCGUAACAAGGUAGCCGUACCGGAAGGUGCGGCUG
rnacentral:rRNA from 2 species